rnacentral:tRNA from 1 species
UCCCGCUUAGCUCAGUUGGUCAGAGCAUCUGACUGUUAAUCAGAGGGUCGCUGGUUCAAGUCCAGCAGCGGGAGCCA